AGAGUUUGAUCCUGGCUCAGAUGACGCUGGCGGCGUGCCUAAUACAUGCAAGUCGAGCGAAUGGAUUAAGAGCUUGCUCUUAUGAAGUUAGCGGCGGACGGGUGAGUAACACGUGGGUACCUGCCCAUAAGACUGGGAUAACUCCGGGAAACCGGGGCUAAUACCGGAUAACAUUUUGAACCGCAUGGUUCGAAAUUGAAAGGCGGCUUCGGCUGUCACUUAUGGAUGGACCCGCGUCGCAUUAGCUAGUUGGUGAGGUAACGGCUCACCAAGGCAACGAUGCGUAGCCGACCUGAGAGGGUGAUCGGCCACACUGGGACUGAGACACGGCCCAGACUUCCUACGGGAGGCAGCAGUAGGGAAUCUUCCGCAAUGGACGAAAGUCUGACGGAGCAACGCCGCGUGAGUGAUGAAGGCUUUCGGGUCGUAAAACUCUGUUGUUAGGAAGAACAAGUGCUAGUUGAAUAAGCUGGCACCUUGACGGUACCUAACCAGAAAGCCACGGCUAACUACGUGCCAGCAGCCGCGGUAAUACGUAGGUGGCAAGCGUUAUCCGGAAUUAUUGGGCGUAAAGCGCGCGCAGGUGGUUUCUUAAGUCUGAUGUGAAAGCCCACGGCUCAACCGUGGAAGGUCCUUGGAAACUGGGAGACUUGAGUGCAGAAGAGGAAAGUGGAAUUCCAUGUGUA
rnacentral:rRNA from 1 species